rnacentral:rRNA from 1 species
GCAGUCGACGCUGAAAGCCUGGUGCUUGCACCGGGUGGAUGAGUGGCGAACGGGUGAGUAACACGUGAGUAACCUGCCCCUGACUUCGGGAUAAGCCCGGGAAACUGGGUCUAAUACCGGAUACGACUGCCGGACGCAUGUCUGGUGGUGGAAAGUUUUUUCGGUUGGGGAUGGGCUCGCGGCCUAUCAGUUUGUUGGUGAGGUAAUGGCUCACCAAGACGACGACGGGUAGCCGGCCUGAGAGGGCGACCGGCCACACUGGGACUGAGACACGGCCCAGACUCCUACGGGAGGCAGCAGUGGGGAAUAUUGCACAAUGGGGGAAACCCUGAUGCAGCGACGCAGCGUGCGGGAUGACGGCCUUCGGGUUGUAAACCGCUUUCAGCAGGGAAGAAGCGCAAGUGACGGUACCUGCAGAAGAAGUACCGGCUAACUACGUGCCAGCAGCCGCGGUAAUACGUAGGGUACGAGCGUUGUCCGGAAUUAUUGGGCGUAAAGAGCUCGUAGGUGGUUGGUCACGUCUGCUGUGGAAACGCAACGCUUAACGUUGCGCGUGCAGUGGGUACGGGCUGACUAGAGUGCAGUAGGGGAGUCUGGAAUUCCUGGUGUAGCGGUGAAAUGCGCAGAUAUCAGGAGGAACACCGGUGGCGAAGGCGGGACUCUGGGCUGUAACUGACACUGAGGAGCGAAAGCAUGGGGAGCGAACAGGAUUAGAUACCCUGGUAGUCCAUGCCGUAAACGUUGGGCACUAGGUGUGGGGGGCAUUCCACGUUCUCCGCGCCGUAGCUAACGCAUUAAGUGCCCCGCCUGGGGGAGUACGGUCGCAAGGCUAAAACUCAAAGGAAUUGACGGGGGCCCGCACAAGCGGCGGAGCAUGCGGAUUAAUUCGAUGCAACGCGAAGAACCUUACCAAGGCUUGACAUACACCGGACCGUCCUGGAAACAGGUCCUCUUCUUUGAAGCUGGUGUACAGGUGGGGGCAUGGUUGUCGUCAGCUCGUGUCCUGAGAAUGUUUGGGGUUAAGUCCCGCAACGAGCGCAACCCUCGUUCU